rnacentral:rRNA from 1 species
AGUCGAACGGCAGCACGGGUGCUUGCACCUGGUGGCGAGUGGCGAACGGGUGAGUAAUACAUCGGAAUGUACCUUGUAGUGGGGGAUAGCUCGGCGAAAGCCGGAUUAAUACCGCAUACGCUCUGAGGAGGAAAGCGGGGGACCUUCGGGCCUCGCGCUACAAGAGCAGCCGAUGUCAGAUUAGCUAGUUGGUGGGGUAAAAGCUCACCAAGGCGACGAUCUGUAGCUGGUCUGAGAGGACGACCAGCCACACUGGGACUGAGACACGGCCCAGACUCCUACGGGAGGCAGCAGUGGGGAAUUUUGGACAAUGGGCGAAAGCCUGAUCCAGCAAUGCCGCGUGUGUGAAGAAGGCCUUCGGGUUGUAAAGCACUUUUGUCCGGAAAGAAAUCCUCUGGGUUAAUACCUCGGGGGGAUGACGGUACCGGAAGAAUAAGCACCGGCUAACUACGUGCCAGCAGCCGCGGUAAUACGUAGGGUGCAAGCGUUAAUCGGAAUUACUGGGCGUAAAGCGUGCGCAGGCGGUUUUGUAAGACGGAUGUGAAAUCCCCGGGCUUAACCUGGGAACUGCAUUCGUGACUGCAAGGCUAGAGUAUGGCAGAGGGGGGUAGAAUUCCACGUGUAGCAGUGAAAUGCGUAGAGAUGUGGAGGAAUACCGAUGGCGAAGGCAGCCCCCUGGGCCAAUACUGACGCUCAUGCACGAAAGCGUGGGGAGCAAACA